UCUGAAGACAGCCUCCCACCCCACCCCACCUCAUCAUGCUCUUCCAGGACAGCUACAGGAAGAAAAGGAGAUAACAGAAUCUAAUGAUGUCCCAUAAGAUCUCCAGUCAAGGUGUGAACAUGAAGCUCCAUUUGCCUAUCUUUACCAAGAGCUUGAUGAUUUGAACCACUGACUGAUUGCCCUGUACUUGGAGGAUGUGAGGAAGCAGAAUUGAGCCAAUAAAGAGAAGAGGAAGAAGGAGCCACAGAACUGAGUGGGAUGUCCCCUGAGCACUCCUUGGUGGAGCAAAAGUCUUGCAAGUCUCUAGUGCGCUGGGCAGGCUGAGGGCGUUCAGCCGAGAACACAGCUCUGUAAAUACAUCAGCGAGGAUGCAUAUAUACAGUUUCCCCAGUGCUCCCUCAGACCCUUGGAGGCUGGGCUACUCCAAGCUCUGUUUCCUGCAAAAAAAUGGAGUAAGUCCUGUGGAGUCUAAAUACACAUUCCCUCUGCAUUAUACCCACGCCUCGACUUCAUUAUAUCUAGGAGCACUGAGACAAAGAGAUUUAUAACAAACUUCAUCCAAGCCAAGAAUGAAACACGGCAGCCUCCAUGCAGCAGGAAACCCAUUGAUCUGUUUCUUAUAAGCAUGUGGUUCUAUGCUGUUUUUCUGCCAAAGCUUUUCCCUGCCUCCCACUUGAGGAGCAUACACCAGCUGAUUCUGCAGAUUGACUCUACAUCAUUCUCUGUCAUGAAGCCAUGGCAUGUGUUUAUGCGUCUGUAACAAAGCGUUUAUAUUCUGCCAUCUGCAUAAAAACUGCUGAAGGACAUUUCAGCAAGAAUCCCUAUGGUUUAUGCAGCUGCAUGUUGAACAUGAAAAUCUAAGAUAUGACAGUGGUCUUUCAUUCAUACAACCUUUGAAUUUUGGUAAAGUUCUGAUGUAAUGUUAAAGAGUGGUAUUUUGAGGACUACGCAUCAAGAUAUAAACAUGGCACAUCUUUUAUAAUAUCAGCCACUGGAAGACAUUUGAAAUAAUAUUUGUAUAAUUGUGGGCUGUAUUAUCUUUCUUUCUUGCACAUAAUAAAGUUUCACUGGAAGUAAA
rnacentral:lncRNA from 1 species